ACAAGCAGUGAGUAUGUGGUUUAAUUCGAAGCAACGCGAAGAACCUUACCAGGGCUUGACAUCCCUUGAAGCAGCUAGAGAUAGCUGUGUCCUUCGGGACAAGGAGACAGGUGGUGCAUGGUUGUCGUCAGCUCGUGUCGUGAGAUGUUGGGUUAAGUCCCGCAACGAGCGCAACCCUUAUCCCCAGUUGCCAUCAGGUAAAGCUGGGAACUCUGGGGAGACUGCCGGUGAUAAACCGGAGGAAGGCGGGGAUGACGUCAAGUCCUCAUGGCCCUUACAUCCCGGGCUACACACGUGCUACAAUGGCAGGUACAGAGGGCUGCAAAGCCGCGAGGUAGAGCGAAUCCCAGAAAACCUGUCUCAGUCCGGAUUGAAGUCUGCAACUCGACUUCAUGAAGGCGGAAUCGCUAGUAACCGCGAAUCAGCAGGUCGCGGUGAAUACGUUCCCGGGCCUU
rnacentral:rRNA from 1 species